rnacentral:tRNA from 1 species
UGGGAUGUGGCUUAGUGGUAGAGUACUUGCCUCGUAUGUAUGAAGCCCUGGGUUCAAUCCCCAGCACCAA